rnacentral:rRNA from 1 species
UGAGGAAUAUUGGACAAUGGGCGCAAGCCUGAUCCAGCCAUGCCGCGUGCAGGAUGAAGGCCUUCGGGUUGUAAACUGCUUUUGUACGGAGCGAAAAGGUCUGCCCUAAUACGGUGGGCUCAUGACGGUACCGUAAGAAUAAGCACCGGCUAACUACGUGCCAGCAGCCGCGGUAAUACGUAGGGUGCGAGCGUUAAUCGGAAUUACUGGGCGUAAAGCGUGCGCAGGCGGUUAUAUAAGACAGAUGUGAAAUCCCCGGGCUCAACCUGGGACCUGCAUUUGUGACUAUAUAGCUAGAGUACGGUAGAGGGGGAUGGAAUUCCGCGUGUAGCAGUGAAAUGCGUAGAUAUGCGGAGGAACACCGAUGGCGAAGGCAAUCCCCUGGGCCUGUACUGACGCUCAUGCACGAAAGCGUGGGGAGCAAACA